AGUGAACGCUGGCGGUAGGCCUAACACAUGCAAGUCGAACGGCAGCACAGUGAGAGCUUGCUCUUACGGGUGGCGAGUGGCGGACGGGUGAGGAAUACAUCGGAAUCUACUUUUUCGUGGGGGAUAACGUAGGGAAACUUACGCUAAUACCGCAUACGACCUACGGGUGAAAGCAGGGGAUCUUCGGACCUUGCGCGAUUGAAUGAGCCGAUGUCGGAUUAGCUAGUUGGCGGGGUAAAGGCCCACCAAGGCGACGAUCCGUAGCUGGUCUGAGAGGAUGAUCAGCCACACUGGAACUGAGACACGGUCCAGACUCCUACGGGAGGCAGCAGUGGGGAAUAUUGGACAAUGGGCGCAAGCCUGAUCCAGCCAUACCGCGUGAGUGAAGAAGGCCUUCGGGUUGUAAAGCCCUUUUGUUGGGAAAGAAAAGCAGCAGGUUAAUACCCCGCUGUUCUGACGGUACCCAAAGAAUAAGCACCGGCUAACUUCGUG
rnacentral:rRNA from 1 species